rnacentral:rRNA from 1 species
UACGGGGGGGGGCAAGCGUUGUUCGGAAUUACUGGGCGUAAAGGCGCGUAGGCGGCCAUCUAAGUCAGACGUGAAAUCCCUCGGCUCAACCGAGGAACUGCGUCUGAUACUGGAAGGCUUGAAUCCGGGAGAGGGAUGUGGAAUUCCAGGUGUAGCGGUGAAAUGCGUAGAUAUCUGGAGGAACACCGGUGGCGAAGGCGGCAUCCUGGACCGGUAUUGACGCUGAGGCGCGAAAGCUAAGGGGAGCAAACGGGG